CAAAUAUUGAAGAAUCUCUAACCAGGCUCGAAACGCCGGUCUCAGUGGCUAUUGAGUUACCCACCAAGUUACCCCGGUUAGAGCUGUUUGGGGUGGCUCACGUUAUUGCGGCAAACUUUGGAGAUGACGGCUGAGUCCUCCGGGCGAACAUGUCAAGCCGAUUGUAAAUGCUGUUAUUUCCACAUCCUUCAGGGACACCAGUCCCUACGAAGACCUUGGGCGAUUUUGAAGUGCGGGCACCUCGAUUCCCCGAAUCUGUAGUGUGGCUGGUAUCGGUGUUCCCCUGGUUUAACUAGCCUGUUUGAAGGCACAGAUCAUUCAUGGGGAAGUAUAACCGAAACCAGUCCUCUCCACCCCCUGGGGAUCUUCACUUUCCCAGUCUACAACUGCCUGUGACUCCAGAAAGACAAACUGCAGAUUGGCCAAGAUGGGGAAAUUGAGGCAGAGAAGCCAAGACAUGCGCUAAAGGUCCAUGCAGGCUAUGAAUGGAGCUGGAAUGUAAACGCAGGCCAUGUGACUCCAGAGCCCAUGUUCUUGAACCCUUAGAAAGACAGCAGCAACACACCUGGUGCAGCAGCUGCUUAGUUGGAGUGGCUGACAAGGUUGGCAGAGGAUCCCGUUCCUCCCGUGGAGUGGCUGCCAUGAUACUGCCUGCACUGAAGCUGCUCCUAUUUCUGAAAUAUGUAUUGUUAUUUUUUUCCCUCCAUGUUGAACAUUAUACUCUUCUGUUCUUUCGCAUUCUCUUCUUCCCUUCCAGAUGACUUCUAGGGUUUUUGUGAUUCUGUAAUUCUAAAGGAGAAAGGAUAAUAAGAAUUGUGAGGCCGGGCGCGGUGGCUCACACCUGUAAUCACAGCGCUUUGGGAGGCCAAGGCGGGCGGAUCACUAGGUCAGGA
rnacentral:antisense_RNA from 1 species